UACGUAGGGUGCAAGCGUUGUCCGGAAUUAUUGGGCGUAAAGAGCUCGUAGGCGGUCUGUCGCGUCUGCUGUGAAAACUCGGGGCUUAACCCCGGGCCUGCAGUGGGUACGGGCAGACUAGAGUGCGGUAGGGGAGAUUGGAAUUCCUGGUGUAGCGGUGGAAUGCGCAGAUAUCAGGAGGAACACCGAUGGCGAAGGCAGAUCUCUGGGCCGUGAACUGACGCUGAGGAGCGGAAAGCAUGGGGAGCGAACAGG
rnacentral:rRNA from 1 species